rnacentral:piRNA from 1 species
AGCAGAUUCCCCUGUCGGAGCCUUCGUCCUUU